rnacentral:tRNA from 1 species
GGGAGAGUGGCUCAGUGGCAGAGCAUUCGGCUGAUAACCGAAAGGUCGAGGGUCCGAUUCCCUCCUUUCCCA